CCUACGGUGGGCAGCAGUGGGGAAUAUUGGGCAAUGGGCGCAAGCCUGACCCAGCAACGCCGCGUGAAGGAAGAAGGCCCUCGGGUUGUAAACUUCUUUUAUCAAGGACGAAACAAAUGACGGUACUUGAUGACUAAGCCACGGCUAACUACGUGCCAGCAGCCGCGGUAAUACGUAGGUGGCAAGCGUUGUCCGGAAUUACUGGGUGUAAAGGGAGCGUAGGCGGGAUGGCAAGUUGGGUGUUAAAUCUACCGGCUCAACUGGUAGUCGCACUCAAAACUGCUAUUCUUGAGUGAAGUAGAGGCAGGCGGAAUUCCUAGUGUAGCGGUGAAAUGCGUAGAUAUUAGGAGGAACACCAGUGGCGAAGGCGGCCUGCUGGGCUUUUACUGACGCUGAGGCUCGAAAGUGUGGGGAGCAAACAGGAUUAGAUACCCUUGUAGUC
rnacentral:rRNA from 1 species